UAAGGAAUAUUGCUCAAUGGGAGAAAUCCUGAAGCAGCCACGCCGCGUGGAGGAUGAAGGGUCUAUGACUUGUAAACUCCUGUAAAGAAGGAAAAAAUUCCCAUUAGAUGGGAGAUGAUGGUACUUCUGGAGUAAGCCCCGGCUAACUACGCGUCACCAGCCGCGGUAAUACGUAGGGGGCACGCGUUGUCCGGAUUUACUGGGGGUAAAGGGUGCUCAGGCGGAUUUGUAAGUCAGAGGUGAAAUCUUACAGCUUAACUGUGAAACUGCCUUUGAUACUGCAAGGCUAGAGUAUGGAAGAGAGUGAUGGAAUAUCUGGUGUAGCAGUGAAAUGCAUAGAUAUCAGAUAGAACACCAAUGGCGAAGGCAGUCAGUUGGUCCAUUACUGACGCUGAAGCACGAAAGCGUGGGUAGCAAACA
rnacentral:rRNA from 1 species